rnacentral:rRNA from 1 species
CUUGAACUUUAUAAGAGGUCCAGCCUGCCCAGUGACUCUGUUCAACGGCCGCGGUAUCCUAACCGUGCGAAGGUAGCGUAAUCACUUGUUCUUUAAAUGUGGACUAGUAUGAAUGGCACUACGAGGGUUAUACUGUCUCCUUUUUCUAAUCAGUGAAACUAAUUUUCCCGUGAAGAAGCGGGAAUAUAACUAUAAGACGAGAAGACCCUAUGGAGCUUUAAACAACCCAGCAAUUACUUCUAAAAUUAUAAAUUUCAGAAUAUUCAUUUUCUAAGUAACAUGUCUGCAAGUUUUUGGUUGGGGUGACCAUGGAGAAUAACAUAACCUCCAUAUUGAAUGAAUUCCCUUCUAAGCUGAAAAUUACCUAUUGAAGCAUCAAUACACUGACAUCUAUUGACCCAAUAUAUUUGAUCAACGAACCAAGUUACCCUAGGGAUAACAGCGCAAUCCACUUCAAGAGCCCCUAUCGACAAGUGGGUUUACGACCUCGAUGUUGGAUCAGGGUAUCCCAGUGGCGCAGCC